AUCAUAAUAGUAUAUUAUACAAUUAGCUUCCAACUAAAAAAUAAAUUUUCAUA
rnacentral:tRNA from 1 species